rnacentral:lncRNA from 1 species
AGGGUGCUCGCGUCCUCCUCAGCGAGGUACUCGAUCUGCAGAGAUUAUGGAUGUGUCUUCGAAUGAAGAUCAUUGCAGUAGCUUUCUAAGCUUCGUCGAUAGGUUUGUCGUCGGUAGGUGCCUCGAUGGCAGCUCUAAUACCCUUUGCAGUAAGAUGAAGCUUCACGUCUUGAACCCACUUCAAGUAGUUUCUUCCAGAUACUUCCAAAACGGUGAAAUUGAGCUUGUUCAAGUUCGACAUGUCCCUAAAACGGAGGGUACAAAAACGUGGUUAGUCAUAUGGUAAUCCAUAGACAUACAUUGUAAAACAUUUGGGUUCUAUAGGCGUGUAUUGUUUUAAUUUAUGAAUGAAAGCUAUAGGUUUCAAGUGGUAAGUUUUGAGUGAAAACUUUGGACUUCAAAGGCACUAAAUAUGAAACUGCAGGUUCAAUUUAGUUUUAUGAACGAUUAGUUCAUAAAGGAGAGGUUCCUGCAAGAAACACAAAAUGCUAUAUACUGAUUUAAGUGUAAUGGAUUUGGGUUGCUUCGGGAACUCAAGUGUGAGAGCUUCGGGGCUACGAAAGGAUGUCAACGGUUCAAGGUAUAAAAAUAAAUUAUUGAAUCGAUAGUGUCUAAAAGUGAUCUUCAGGUCAAUAAUUUUGGAUUAAUUAUCAGAUUAAUGGACUACAGGUCACUUUUAAUUAAUUAAUAGAUCGGGACCAAACGGGAUCAAUCUUGGAAGCAAAAAUAAUAAUAACAUUCAGGUUAAAAUUAUUUAAAAUGCAAAAAAAUUAGCAUUAGAUUAAAAAAACCAUAGCCCAAUAUCAUUUUGGCUUGGGUGCUGUGAGUAAGGCAAAGCCCUAGAGGCUUUUGGCCGAGGGACUAGGUAGCCCACAUAUGGUUGCAGGCCACUGGCCGAGGGACUAGGUAGCCCAACAGCAAGCUGCUUGCGUUUUUGGGCCAAAGAGUGCACGGGAGCAAGCCCAGCCGAAGCUAGCUUGUGGGUUAACACAUGCGAGGCCCAGUCGAAAUUGGGGUUGGGUUUUUGGACUGUGGAUAAGCCUAGCCUGCA